UUUAAACUAGAUUUCUGUUCACACUUUUUUAGAUUUUCCUAAAUGUUUCAAAUAAAUUACAGGUUAACAUAUAUUAGCUUCUUUUAAACUUUUAAAUUUGAAACAUUGAUAAUUUUUAAUAUAGUACAUUUUUUUUAUAAUACAGAUCUACUCCCAAGAAGAAGUUCUUUUUCACUUGGAUACCAGUUGUCUUUAAUUAUAAAUUAAAGUUUGACUUAUAUAUUGAAUUAAUUACAGCUAUCAUCUGUAGAACAUUUCUUAGAGCUCAAGUCCAGGAAAAUCAGAUUUCUGUGUCAGCCCUACAGACAAGUUCAGGACUCAAUGAGAUUUUUUCCCUUUUUUUUGCAGUUCCUGUCUUUGAACCCAGAGUCUCACACUUUUUAAGUAAUUGCUGUACUACUAAGCUUUAUCCCCAGCCCCAUUUAUUUUAUAUUGAUAAAGGAUCUAAAUAGCCAAGGCUAAUGUCUAAUUCACAAACUCCUGCCUCAGCCUCCCAGGAAACUGGGAUUUUAGUCUUGUGCUACUCAGCCCAGCUUCUCAAGAGACAUUUUACUAGGUCCAGGAAAGAGUUUUAAAAUGAAAGAAAACAAAGACCAGCAAUAAAGUACCUUUUUUUCCUGAAAUACAUGUAUAUGCUGCUUUAUCUCACAUUCCAAUUUACCUGAUCUCAUUAAGCAAAAGGCAUCUAUUUGCUUGAAGAUGAAUUAGAACUGUUUUGCAGAAAUCAGGGAGAGAAGGAAUCAGUGACUAUUGACUUUCAAAAUAAAUGUUUUUAAGUUCU
rnacentral:lncRNA from 1 species